CUCUCAGUAAAGUAAUACUUCCUGAUAUUAUUUUUAAACCUUUGUCCCUCUAAUUUAAGACUAUGUCCUCUUGUUGUGGUAGUUUUUCUUCUUUUAAAUAUAGUCUCCUCCUUUACUGUGUUGAUUCCCUUUAUAUAUUUAAAUGUUUCUAUCAUAUCCCCCCUGUCUCGUCUUUCCUCCAAGCUAUACAUGUUAAGAUCCUUUAACCUUUCCUUGUAAGUUUUAUCCCGCAAUCCAUGAACCAGUUUAGUAGCCCUUCUCUGAACUCUCUCUAAAGUAUCAAUAUCCUUCUGAAGAUACGGUCUCCAGUACUGUGUACAAUACUCCAAGUGAGGUCUCACCAGUGUUCUGUACAAUGGCAUGAGCACUUCCCUCUUUCUACUGCUAAUACCUCUCCCUAUA